ACAACAUUAGGACCGUCGGUCUACCGAGCAAUAUCACCCGCUCAGUGGAAGAUCUUUCCCUUUGUCGU
rnacentral:pre_miRNA from 1 species